UAGGGAAUCUUCCACAAUGGACGAAAGUCUGAUGGAGCAACGCCGCGUGAGUGAAGAAGGGUUUCGGCUCGUAAAGCUCUGUUGUUAAAGAAGAACGUGGGUAAGAGUAACUGUUUACCCAGUGACGGCAUUUAACCAGAAAGCCACGGCUAGCUACGUGUCAG
rnacentral:rRNA from 1 species